UUUGGCAUCACACAGGGGAAGCUCUUGCCCCUCCAUUCUCUGGAUUUGAAGAUGUCCAUUGGAGCCUGCAGUGCCUGGACAGGGUUCAGAGCGGAACCUUUUGAAGAGUGUCAAUAGUUGUAACAGUUCAGCUGUUAGGAAGACAAAUAAAUGGAGGAGCUCAUUAAUCCGCUUUUGGCUCUCAGUGCCUUUUGCCCUUUUAUCACAGCCUUAUUAGGCUCCUACUCAUCUUGAACCAGAAAAAAAUGAAUUGAAGUUGUUGAGUACUAAUUGGCAAAGACUUUUAAUCAUGGGCCAAGAACUUUCACUGACUUGAAAGUAACUUCUCCACAGGGAAGGACCAAAAACCUGGUUUACCUUAAAACAAAAACCUGUUGGAGUUCAGCGUGGUGUAAAAAUGUAAGGAAGCGUUGAUAAAUUGUCUAAGUUUAUCCAUUUGAAAGAAAUUGUGUAAGAUUAUGAUAUUCUCUUUUCUUUUAAAAAAAAAAAAAAGUACAAUAAAAUUCAAACAUUCCUUAGGAAAGCAUUGUCUAUUGGUUUAGAAAAGAGAUUGCACACAUGCGUGGUGGUCGUGUUUGUUUCUGAACAUCUAUACACAGGUAUGUGAAUAUUCAUCUCUGCAUCUACAUACGCAUGUGGUGUUUGAGGAACCUUAUUAAAAGUGAUAUUUCCUAUUAGUAGCCUUAAAAAUGGCAAAUGAAGACCUCUUUUUGAGACUCUCUGCUUUUAAAAUUUUUUUAAAUAUGUGUCUGUACUAUAGAGAUGUGUAUGGCUGAAUGUGCUUUGUGUAUAAUUAUUGUCAAAUGGUACAUAGAUUAUUUUGUAUGUGUGCAACAGUGACUUUGGGCCACUCUGUCUUUGAGAAACCAAUGAUAUGAUGGCCCGGAGUAGAUAGGAUCAUAAUGAUUUAAGUUUCUAAAAACCACUGGGUAAAUGAAAAACUAGUAAACUGAGCUGAGAUUUAGGGAUGUUGGGCUUCAUUCCCAGAUCAACUACUUUGGAGAAUCCUUUCCUUUCUAUUAGAUGAGGUUAAACAAGUUGCUUUCUUUUUCUUUCUCUUACUUUCCUUGGCUAGUGUACAGACACCAUAAAAUCUGAUAAAAGGGGUUUCCUGUAGUCUGACCCCCAACAUUGAGGAGACUGUAAUGGAGGUGACUUCUCAUGCAAGAUUUGGCCAGCGUUCUAGCAGUGUCCCGGGAGUGCCAUGGUUUGGCAGGACGACAGGAACCCCACAAGGCCAACUUCUGCCUGGACUUCAGCCUGAGGAGCCAGUGGGAGCCAGUGAAACUGUCUGCCUCUCCACAUGCAUCAGGGCCCUGCCACCCUGGCACCAUGGCUGGCACGCACCAGAGGGCAAGGGAGAAGCGGAUGGUGGCUCCCGUGUUAUCUGACUAACCACUGGGUGGGCUACACUCCCUGUGCCCCUGCUGUUGCCUCUGAUAGGAGUAUGCUUGGUUCUUGGUAUUGACUUGCCUUUUUUUGUUGCCUUUUAAAAGGACCCAUUUUGUUCAAUGCUUCUGUUCUAUUACUGAAAAUGUAGCCAAAAUAGAAGGGAAUCAAUUACUAGUGUAUUAUUUUGAAAGCUUCAAACAGAAAUUGUGAAAUGUUAUUUCUGCUCAUAUUCUUAGUGUUUUCUCUUGGUAGGAUCAUAAUAUUUAGCCUUUAUGAUAUUUAAAACCCAUUUGGAGUGUUAGGUUUAUUUUUAUGAUACUCUGCUGGUAACUUUAAGUCAUCAGGCUAGGGUAUGAAGAGUAGUUUUUUAAGUUUAUGUUUUAAAAGUGAAAUAUUGUGAAUCUUUAAUCAUAGUUCUCAUCAAUAUCCCUCAGAAUUUUUAAAUGUUAAUGCUUUAAUAUUUAGGAAAAAUUUUAUACCAAAGGUUGAAAAAAAAAUAGAAUCCUGUUACUCCCGACUUCUGGUGUGUUUUAUAAGUGCAUCAACACAGGAUAUUACUUAAAAUUCUGUUCUAACUGGCUUCAAGUCUUAUGGUUAGUUGAAGAAAACAACUUCAACCCAGUAAGAGAUUCACAUUUUGUUGUGAAUGCAAAACCAUUCUAAUGCUGAUACUCACAAACAAACAAGUAAUGUUUCCAGGGAUUCUGGGAACAUCUAAAGGCCAAGAUCUUGGCACAGCAUUACAGAGCAAACAAGGAGCUAAAGCUUUAGCAGUGAUCAUAUUCAAUGAAGACAUCAUUGUCAGCACCCUCUAAAGGUCUGUUUGAUUUGGAUCAGCACAGACAGUAUUUUUAAAACAGCCCCAGGAAUAGUACAGUGUGCUUACCCAGCUAUAGAAAAUUAAACAGGAAUAUAUCCUGAAAAGGGGGUUUUUCAGGAAAAAAAAAAUUCUGAUUGCUCUUCAACAAUGUAACAUACAUUUGAUGGAAAUUGUAUGUACUGGAAAGAUUAGCUCAUGCCAUAUUGGAAAACAAAAAAAAAGGUGGUGAUGCCACAUGGGAAGGACAAGUAGCAUUUCCAACACUGUACAUGUGAAGCCAACAAUUAUUGGCUUGAAAGUGGAGUUCUCUGACUCUUUGCUGCAGAUCCAAAGUUAGGUGUGAGGGUUAAUUUUCAAUACAGACAUUGCGAUGAUAUUAAAAAGUUGAGUUGACAAGGUUGAGAAAGUUACAAGAUAAAGGUCAAGACACAAAGGCACAAUUAUGGGGCCAUACUCCUAUCCCAGUGAUCCAACCUCACAGAGCAACUGCAGAGUUGCAAGUCUUCUGGUACAUAGUUGCCAUUAGAUGAGGAUAAGUGUAAUAAAAGAUAAAUAGAAAUAAGCCAAAUCUAAGGUUUAACCAUUUCAAAACUUUAGCGUAUAAGAAGUAUGGGGUGAAGUACAAUAGAUGGAAAUGGCAUAAAAUUUUUUAAACAUUAAGUUCAUUGUUUAAUAAACAUUGCAAAC
rnacentral:lncRNA from 1 species